ACGCUCGAGGUUCGCAACCAUCCCUCGAUUCAAAAAACUAGGAGGAA
rnacentral:ncRNA from 1 species